GACGAACGCUGGCGGCGUGCUUAACACAUGCAAGUCGAACGAUGAAGCUGGAGCUUGCUCUGGUGGAUUAGUGGCGAACGGGUGAGUAACACGUGAGUAACCUGCCCUGGACUCUGGGAUAACCCCGAGAAAUCGGAGCUAAUACCGGAUAGGACCUCGGAUCGCAUGAUCUGGGGUGGAAAGUUUUUCGGUCUGGGAUGGACUCGCGGCCUAUCAGCUUGUUGGUGAGGUAAUGGCUCACCAAGGCGUCGACGGGUAGCCGGCCUGAGAGGGUGACCGGCCACACUGGGACUGAGACACGGCCCAGACUCCUACGGGAGGCAGCAGUGGGGAAUAUUGCACAAUGGGCGCAAGCCUGAUGCAGCAACGCCGCGUGCGGGAUGACGGCCUUCGGGUUGUAAACCGCUUUUAGUAGGGAAGAAGCCGCAAGGUGACGGUACUUGCAGAAAAAGGACCGGCUAACUACGUGCCAGCAGCCGCGGUAACAC
rnacentral:rRNA from 1 species